GCUCCGGUGGCCUAAUGGUUAGAGCGUCCGUCUCGAAUGCGGAAAGUCGCAGGUUCGAACACCUGCCGAGUCA